GGGAUUAGCUAGUUGGUGAGGUAAGGGCUCACCAAGGCGACGAUCCCUAGCUGGUCUGAGAGGAUGAUCAGCCACACUGGAACUGAGACACGGUCCAGACUCCUACGGGAGGCAGCAGUGGGGAAUAUUGCACAAUGGGCGCAAGCCUGAUGCAGCCAUGCCGCGUGUGUGAAGAAGGCCUUCGGGUUGUAAAGCACUUUCAGUCGUGAGGAAGG
rnacentral:rRNA from 1 species